rnacentral:sRNA from 1 species
UUCUAAACCGGAUUGAAGAGGAGAUCCUUUUUUGCUGCCUUGGGCUGCGCUUGGAGCAAAAAAGAUCGUAUCGGAAAGCCCGAGGAAAC